CGUGUAGGCGGCCAGACAGGUCUGUUGUGAAAACUGGAGGCUUAACCUCCAGACGUCGACAGAAACCGUCUGGCUAGAGUCCGGAAGAGGAGAGUGGAAUUCCUGGUGUAGCGGUGAAAUGCGCAGAUAUCAGGAAGAACACCAAUGGCGAAGGCAGCUCUCUGGGACGGUACUGACGCUGAGAGCGAAAGCGUGGGGAGCGAACA
rnacentral:rRNA from 1 species